rnacentral:rRNA from 1 species
AGAGUUUGAUCAUGGCUCAGGAUGAACGCUGGCGGCGUGCCUAAUACAUGUAAGUCGAACGAGGUGCUUUUGUAGCAAUACGAGAGUAUCCUAGUGGCGAACGGGUGAGUAACGCGUUGGUGACCUGCCCCAAAGUGUGGGAUAACAGUCCGAAAGGACUGCUAAUACCGCAUGUGGUCAUUGGAUUUAGAAACCAAUGACUAAAGGAGCAAUUCGCUUUGGGAGGGACCUGCGUCCCAUCAGCUAGUUGGUAGGGUAACGGCCUACCAAGGCGACGACGGGUAGGGGACCUGAGAGGGUGGCCCCCCACAAUGGAACUGAAACACGGUCCAUACACCUACGGGUGGCAGCAGUAGGGAAUAUUGCACAAUGGGCGAAAGCCUGAUGCAGCAACGCCGCGUGUGUGAUGAAGGCCUUCGGGUCGUAAAGCACUUUUCUGGGAGAUGAGAAAGGACAGUAUCCCAGGAAUAAGUCUCGGCUAACUACGUGCCAGCAGCCGCGGUAAAACGUAGGAGGCAAGCGUUAUCCGGAUUCACUGGGCGUAAAGCGCGUGCAGGCGGUGUGGUAAGUUGGGCGUGAAAUCUCCCGGCUCAACUGGGAG